AUAGCAUAUUAUGAUUAAUUUAACAUUUAUGAUGUUGUUCGAUUUUAUCCAUUGCGUUAAAAUAAACAGAUUUUAAAACGAGAUUUAAAUUUCAGUAGGCUAGGCUGUAUGUUCGCUGUUGUACAGUGUAGGUUGUUAAACACUGCAAGUGUGUCAAAGUGGGAGUGUCUCAUACAUAUUCAAGUCAAACUUUGCUCCUGGGAAUAAGAUUUCCUAAUAAAAAACACUGCUGAGUGUCACAGUGGGUUAAUGCUGUAAUUAAACCGAAACAUCUGUGCUGGUUUAUCUCAGUAUUGUUUAGACAGCAUUCAAUAUUUGAUCUUGAACUCGAUUAAAUCUGAAUUCAUCUCGCAUACUUGUGAACUUUAAAGUUAAAACUUUGAAUGUUUUAUUUAGUCAGUGAGUUUCUCUCUCUCUCUCUUUUUUUGCAUUAGAGAUUUACUUUUCCCCCUGAACUCUCGGUGAUCUCUUGAGAUUUUAUGUAACGUACUUUUCCACCAAUGAUGCGCAGUCCAAGCCACAAAUAGCUUUGAAGUCUGCAUGAAGAAUUACAAGUGGAUUUGUAAACAUCCUUUCAUACUCAAUAAUUUAUAUUCAUUCGCCUGUAUAAAAGACCCACUGUCGCCCCUCUAUCAGAGCGCGUCACGUACUGCACAUACGCAACCCGAGCCAACAGUGCGCGCGCGAACGCAAACAGAGCUUGAUGAUGAAGGGCUUGUGGGAGGGGCAGUGAAAUUAAUGAUAAAUUGACCGUAGAUAGAGAGACAUUACGAUAAAAUCGCAGCAGGAACUCAGGCUGUGCAUGCCGUGACGGGAAUUGGCUUAUUCCCAAUACUUAUCAAUACAUCAACACUGUUGAAGGUUUAAUGUUUGCUUAGUCAUUUCUGGAAUUCUUGAACAGCAAAUGACUCUGUGGAGAUCAAUGAGAGACAUGAUUGCGACAGCUUUGACUUUUCUCUGAAGGUGUGCUACUGAAUGUGUGCCUAGACAGAGACUUAAAGGGAUAGUUCGCCCAAAAAUGAAAAUUAUGUCAUCAUUUAUUCACUCUCAUGUUGUUACAAACCUGUAUAAAAAUUCUUUGUUCUGAUGACCACAAAGGAAGAUAUUUCGAAACCGUUUGUGAGCCCCAUUCACUUCCAUAGUAGGAAAAACGAAUACUAAAGUAAUUGAGGAUCGGUUUAGUUACAAUCUCAGAAAAGUGAGAGGAGAUAAAAUGGAAUGAAGUAUACUAUACUCUGCUGUUAUUUUGAAGCCUUCUUUGUUUACAACACUUGUGUACAUGCAAACAUAUCUCUAUGUUAAGUAAAUUAUAUCGAAAGAGUAAUCAUGUUUGGUCUGCAAAGACCUUAUAAGGAUGUUUCUCUGUAUGUGUGUGCGUGCAAAACGCCUGUUUUGUAAUAUAAACACUUCUAAAUAGUAUAGCCUAUGUUAUGUCUGGGUUUAAAAAACAUUUUAAAGGUAUACUCUCAGAAAAAAGGUACAAAAGUUUACACUGGGACUGUACCUUUUAAAAAGGUCCUUAUAUGGUACAGAUGUGUACCUUUGAGAUAUCAGUCUAUCAGUACAUUUGGUAUUCCAAUAUCCAACCCAGUGACAACUUUUUAUCUUCUUGUACCUUUGUUUCUGAAAGUUUAACAUCAAAAGAAAAGAAAAAAGAAAAAAUUCUGUUUCUCUCUGUCAUUUCUCUUUACUUGUGUUUUUCUCAGCCAUGAGAUAUUUUGCCAGAGACUAAGCACUUGAGGGAUUUAUUCAGAACCCAUUUCCCUAUCUAGCCCUUGCAUAUGUUUAUUUAGAGUUCUAAGAGAAAGAUUAUUAUUUUGCACAGAAAUGGGGAUGAUUUCAAAAAAUAACAUGGAAAAAUUCAUUUUACGCAAAUCUACUAAAAGAUCGGUAACAAUCCUUUGCCCAAAAACAGCAAGAAUUCUCUUGAGUACACUUGUGCAUUUUUAACUCUCAAGUAGAGGCCAUAGUGGUUACAGAACUCCUUGUUUUUCAUCAUGCUGAAUAUAGUUUUUCAUGACUUUGAAAUCUUAAACUGCACUGGAAAUAUGUAUAUUUGUGUGGGGAUUUACUACCAAGAGAACUCUACUUUGGCCCCUUCACUUUAGUACUGGAAAAGAUUUUGGAGAAAAUCCCUGAACACUGUGUUCUCCACACUUGAUCAAUGACAACCAUUUGAAUCUGUUCGUAAUAGAGUUUGUUUUUAUAUACAGUAUAGACAUACAGUAAUAAUUGGACCUGGAAUUUGUGAAUGUAAAAUAAGAGACUUUCCCAUUUAUUUAAAUGCAUUAUUUUGGUGAGACAAUAAGAUGAAAUGCUUUUAUUUUGUGUCCGGGAGCAUUAUUUACUGAAAAAUAACUUGAAACAUUUAUGACAUGUGUCACUUUAAAAACCUAUUUAAUUUAAAUACAUUUUUUUGUAUUUUUAAUAAUAAAUACAAAUUAUUGUUUGGUAUCUCAAACUUGUAAAAUGGCAGGCGGGGCCAGUGGUGGACUGGCCAUCUGGAGCCCGGGAGUUACAGGUGUUACUUUGUUUUAUGUUAUGUUAUGGUUAGUGAGAUGCCAUUGGCAAAUAGUUCAACUGCAUGAUUUCUUAAUAAAUUUGACUUUCUUAGAAGUUUAAGCAUUUAUGUUUCUGAAUUAUGGUGUUUAAAAAUAGCCUGUGCACCAAUAUGCAAGUAUGUUGGGAACAGGGUGUGGUGAGAAAGUCCAGUGCCAAUUUUUAGUCCCUGUCUGCCCAGUCCCAGUUUUUUCAACUGUUAAAAAUGGUGUUUAAAUUAUUAAAAUUCAAAAAUAAGAAUCUUUGGGAUUAUUCGAAACCUUUCAUAUUAACAAACUUUAUGAAUAUCAGUAUUGCUGAGAUGUUAGGAUAAGUGAAAAACUUUUUUCCAACAAUUUGAAUGUUCUCAAAUGUUAAAGUAUAAUACAACUUCAAUCAUAGGCCGUUUAUUAGAAGUUAACAAGUAUAUACAACAAACAUGAUAUUUUAUCAUCCAGUGAAACCAAGGUGGUCUUUAUGGUUGGGUAAAAAGAUUGUAUAUUUCUACUUUAAUGUAAUGGGUGGCUAGUACACUUUCUGUGUCAUGGGUGCAACCAAUGUAAAACUAGAAAACAUUAUAUUUUAUGAAAAACAUUUUAAUUAGUAGAUUGAUGAAUUGAUAUUAUUCAAGCAUCCAAAUAAAAGAAUGUAAAUUCAUUGCAGAGGUCAGGUGGUGCAACCAGAAAUUCAUCGGGUGCAACUGCUAUGAAUGCCAUAAGAAAUAAAAAAACAUAAAGCUAAAAAUUUUAAUAAGAAAUUAAUUUAGCUAAAAAUGUUAAUUUUAAUAAAUGCAAGCUAAGGUUGUCUGCGAUUGUUAUUAUACUAUUAAAUAUUAAAUUUUAAAUUCAUUUUAAAUGUCAGUUAUAUGGUAAAGUUGUUUUCAAACAAUUUUUAGGAUACUCAUUUUAAAUGCCACUUUCAAACAAACAAACAAUCAGCAUGACACAGGGAGCACAAUAAAACUUAUCUGGCAAAUAGAAAAUUAUUUUUAUUUUUUAUAUUUUAUUAUUUUUUUGAAUGGGAUAUCAAAGAUAUUUUAAAAGAAAUCAUUAAAAGGUACUGAAAUGUUGUUCAAAAAACAAACAUUUUCUGACUCAAAUACAUUUUUAGGAGCUUGUUUGGUCAUUUAACGACCCAGAUUUUUAUUUAAUGUAACGCAAAGUGCAUUUUGCACUUUAAAAAUGGCUGUUUUUUUACCUAGUAAAUAUGGGACAGAACACAUGCUGGGUUAAAAUGACCCCAUGCUGGGUUAAAAAUAACCCAAUGUUGGGUUUUGUUAUGCAACCACGAAUUAUAAUAACCCUACAGUUUAUUUAAAACAUCCCAGCAUUGUGUCAGUUUUAACCCACAGUGUGUUCAGUCCAAUAUUGAUCCAUUAUGGGUCAAAAAUAACCCAGCCAUUUUUAGAGUGUGUGUUCUCCGAGAACUGAACCCUUGACCUUUGUGUUCUUAGCACCAUGUUCUACCCGUUGAGCUGCUGAAAGCCAAUUAUUAUAAGUUUGACUCUUUAAAUAACCAAGAGUGAUACAAAGUGCUGCAACUCAAAUCAAGUUCUCAUAACUGAAUAAGCAUGUCAAUGCAGGGAGAUUUGACAUUAUUUAUUCUGCAAAAAAGGAGUUCUCAAAUCUGCAAAGUAUUUCAUUCAACAUCUUUUAUUUCUCAAACAGCUCAAUUAAGGGUUAUUUUGCUUUCAAAUGUAAGAAAACCUGCUGCUUUCAACCUGUUUUUGUCUUCAGGCAUAUACGUUUAUCACAGAGCUAAACAGGUGGGAACAGAAAGUUGUGUAAAAAAAACAUAUUUUUAUGGCAUGUGCUGACAUGGUUUUGUGACACAACACGCACACACACAGUUUAUUAUGUGUGAAAAAUGUGGGUGUGAUGUGAACUUAGAAAACAUGUCAUUUGUCAUUGAUACUUAUGACUUGAAGCAGCCUAACAUUUGAUAAUAACCAAUUAUGGCCUAGUCCUGUAGAUAUUUAACUUUGUGUUGUUAUGCACCUGCUAAGUCUUAUCAUCAUUUGAUUGCACAAAAUUUCCAAGAUGUAAAAACGUGCAGGUAAAGUGCCUUAUUGCAUUGGUUUCUGUGGCAGAUUGGAUUCAUAGAGGUGUAAAUGGGGAAAGGCAAGACUACUCUGCUUUGCCUUUGACCCUCUCUCUGCUGAAUUUAACCAAACCUAAUUGGUUCCAGUUUAACUCUUAUAAUCGUCAGUGUAAUAUUUGCUAAUCAUCAGUACACAGCAAAAUCACCAGUGUUAAAUUUUCCGGGAUGGUGUUAAAUACACAGUGUUGAUGUUGUUUUAACACUAUCUGGUAAUAAAAUAACACUGCCAUUGCUAGGCCAGUGUUAUAUCCACAACAGUGUCAGUGUUAAACAAGGGUGUUAUCAGAUUUCACUCUGAGCGGUGUAAAUCAAGCCACGCCUCCACUAAACAUUUCCUGUCAGGGAUUUUACCGCCAUUUUCUUUCACAGGAGGACUGAAGAGAUCAGAUGCUAGUUUGGUGAAAGUUCACACUGAGUGCUUCAAAUCAUUCAGAAGAGAUGCUGUUUUUAGGGCAGUUUAUUAAAGAAGACCUGACAUGGAUGACUUACAAUGAGAAACGACUGCUAAUACUUAUAUAAAUUCAUUACAGAAGGACCCUACCAGACUAUAUUUGAAUACGGCAUACCCAUGAAUUCUGGAACUGUUAUUCCUUAACCCAGUUUGGAGGAUAAGAGCUUACCAACUAGUUAUAAAUAUGGUGAGGUGAUGUAUUGCAAAAUAGCCAACAUACAACAAUAUGGAUGACCCUCUGUCUGGUCAACAGGAGUUUAAAUAUGGACGGGACAGUUAUGUGGCAGCUCUUCCCUGGCUCAUUCACCUCUUGCCUUUCAUUUGUGAAAGGAAGAAAGAGGGUCAAUGUGCAACUGAAGCUACUGAUUGUGCUGUGUGAUGAGCAUCAAUCCAUGCUUUGAGGUGGAUGGAUCAGCACAGCCCUGCCUGCACUGCGUUGGGAACAGAAGUUGCAUCCAGAAUUUUUGCAUCAUUCUGGACCAAAAAGCCAUUCCCUCCAUGAUGAAGACCACUGAUGCAGCCUUCCACUACAUCAUGAGUAAAACAACUACAGAACUAAAUACCAGGUUGGAACGUAUUUAAGAAAAAUGAAACGUCUUUUCAAUUGAAAUGUCUGUUUUGUUAUGGAUAAAUCUUUAGUAUUGUGAAGGAUAAGCAUUUCUGCCUGCCAGUAAGGUAAUUGCAGUGUAUUUUAAUGUUCAAGUUUUGAAUAGGGUGGCUAAUUUUUUUUAAAAUCUCAUUUGAUUUAUUAAAGACCUUAUAAUAAGUGGUUUUCAUGUCACUGCGCUGUGGUAUAAGAUAACUUUCAUUAUUCCAUACUGUAUUCUGUUUCUAAUUGUAGCUGAGGUAUUUAAAUAAGCAGUGUUAAAUGCAAAGUGUUGUGUGUAUAAAUGUAAAUAUUAAAUGUGAUGUACUUUAAUAAAAAGAGGUUUUGCAAUAUUUCUUGUCAUUUGUCUUUUAUAGAAACAACCCAUUAGCAACAAAAGUGGCUAUUAAUCAGUAUUUUAACACUUAACAUUGUUGAAUUCACAUUACACUGGUGUUGACCUUAAAUUAGGAGUGUUAAUUUUUAACACUGUAUUUCUGUGCCAACACCAGUGUAGUGUGGAAACAACAAUGAAUAGUGUUGAACAAAGUGUAAAAUUUAACAAUAUUGAGUGUUAAAUUAACAUAUAAUGAGUGUUGUUAAAUUAACACUACACUUUUGACUAAAUUAACACAGUGUAGUGUGGACACAUAUACACACUUUUCCAGUGUUAAAUUUGACACCCUGGGUGUUAUUUUAACACCAGUGAUUUUGCUGUGUAGUAACUUGAACUUGAGUUUGGAAAUGGAUUAUAAUACAAUUGCCCUACUGAAAAAAAACCCUACUAAAACCACCUUAAGCAGCUGAGCCGGUUUUAGCUGGUCUCCCAGCUUGGUUUAAGCAGGUGUAGCAAGCAGAUCUAAAUGUGUUUUGGUCACUUUUUACGAUGGUCAAACUGAACUUUGGUUAUGCUGGAAGACCAGCUGACCCACCAGCUUGAUCAGCUUUGUCAGGAUGGGAGGACCAUCUUAAACCAGUUAAAACCUGCAAACCAGUUAUAGUUGUUUUUUUUUACAAAAAAAGUUAAAUAUAAAAUGCAAAUGUUAAAAUGUAAAUGUUUUUGAAAGUGACACGUCGCCUACACUGCCAACAGGGAAAUUAGCAGAGCAGAGAGAUGUGUAGCCUACAAUUAUUGAACGCGUCAUCAAGAAAUUAAGAUUAGACAGAACUCGCUUGCUUUUCUUCUGAAAAAAAAAAAAAACGUUUCAAUCAGUGUUCAGAAAUAA